UACGGAGGGAGCUAGCGUUGUUCGGAAUACUGGGCGUAAAGCGCACGUAGGCGGCGAUUCAAGUCAGAGGUGAAAGCCCGGGGCUCAACCCCCGGAACUGCCUUUGAAACUAGAUUGCUAGAAUCCUGGAGAGGUGAGUGGAAUUCCGAGUGUAGAGGUGAAAUUCGUAGAUAUUCGGAAGAACACCAGUGGCGAAGGCGGCACUC
rnacentral:rRNA from 1 species